UCGAAAUUAGUUUAUUUAAAAUUUUGUGUUUGGAACAUAAAGAACAACUUGUUGAUUUCGAA
rnacentral:tRNA from 1 species